GGGCACAGGCCGAUCCCAGAGCGCAAAGGCUGAUCCCGGCAUCGCCUCUGACCAUGGACCCGUGGUGGGGAAGGCAUAAACGCAUAGCGGAGAGCUGCAAUAUAUUUGGGAGUGUGUGUGGAUACAUCUGAGGAUGUGGGCAAGUGCUUCACCAGUGUCAUCCUUCAACUGCAGACUGCUGCAACAUUCAUGGACUCAGGGACUUGGGCUACAUUGUGUUUCUGUGACUGUAUAGGCCCCCGACCAUCCAGGACAUGCUCUCUUCUCAUUAAUCGGAAAUCUGACAGCAGAAGAAACAUACAACAAUCCUCACUGAAUGAUCAGCAGUGGAAAGGGUGAGCAGUUUCAAGUUCCUGGGUGUCAACAUCUCUGACGAUCUAUCCUGGGCCCAACAUAUUGAUGCAGUUCGAAAGGAGGCACGACAGAAGCUUUAUUUCAUUAGAAGUUUGAAGAGAAUUGCUAUAUCACCAAAAAUACUCGCAAAUUUCUACAGAUGUACUGUGGAAGGCAUUGUAACUGGUUACAACACCGUCUGGGUUGGAGGGGCUAUUGUACAAGAUCCGAAAAAGCCGCAGAAAGUUGUAAACUCAGCCAGCUCCAUCAUGGCCAGUAGCCUCCCCAGCAUCCAGAACAUCUUCAAAAGGCGAUGCCUCAGAAAGGUACUAAUCAUCAUUAAGGACCCCCAUCACCAAGGUCACGCCCUCUUCUCAUUGCUGCCAUUAAGGGGUGGUACAGGAACCUAAAGACACACACUCAACAUUUCAGCAACAGUUUCUUCCCCUCCACCAUCAGAUUUCUGAAUGGACAGUGAACCCUUGAACACUGUCUCAGUAUUUCUCUUUUGCACUACUUAUUAAAUUAAAUUUUCUUACUGUAAUUUAUAGUUUUUGUUAUUAUGCAUUGCAAUGUGCUCCUGCCCGCAAAAGAGCUAUUUCACGACAUACGCCAGUGAUGUUAAACCUGAUACUGAUUCUGAUGCUGUGUCCUGUUUCAGCAGCCAGUCGCUCACAGCACAGCACAGGCAGGUUCUUCAGCCCAUCUAGUCCGUGCCGACCAACUUUUCCAUGCUAAGUAAUCUCAUUUACUUGCAUUUGGUUCAUAUCCCUCUAAACUUUUCCUGUCCAACUGUCUUUUAAACGUUGUUAAUGUACCUGCCUCAACCACUUCCUCUGGCAGCUCGUUCCAUAUACUGACCUCCCUCUUGGUAAAAAAAAGUUGCCUCUCAGAUCCCUAGUAAAUCUCUCCCUUCUCACUCUGGUUUUUGAUUCCCGAACCGUGGGAAAUUUCUCAAAUUCUCAUUAUAUAUUCAUACUUAUUUCGUGUUCCAGUGUUUAACUCGGGCAUCAAUUACAAAUUGAAUAAUAAAUGGAUCAUCAGUGCAUCUGGAAACUCU